GUCCACGCCCUAAACGAUGAUCACUCGAUGUGUGCGAUAAACUGUACGCGUCCAAGCGAAAGCAUUAAGUGAUCCACCUGGGGAGUACGACCGCAAGGUUGAAACUCAAAGGAAUUGACGGGGGCCCCGCACAAGCGGAGGAGCAUGUGGUUUAAUUCGAUGAUACGCGAGGAACCUUACCAGGGCUUGAAAGUUAGUGAAGAAUGUGGAAACAUGUUCGUCAGCAAUGACACGAAACUAGGUGCUGCAUGGCUGUCGU
rnacentral:rRNA from 1 species